rnacentral:rRNA from 1 species
UACGAAGGGGGCUAGCGUUGCUCGGAAUCACUGGGCGUAAAGCGCACGUAGGCGGAUCUUUAAGUCAGGGGUGAAAUCCUGGAGCUCAACUCCAGAACUGCCUUUGAUACUGAGGGUCUUGAGUUCGGGAGAGGUGAGUGGAACUGCGAGUGUAGAGGUGAAAUGCGCAGAUAUCAGGAGGAACACCGAUGGCGAAGGCAGCUCGCUGGGACGGUACUGACGCUGAGGCGCGAAAGCGUGGGGAGCAAACAGG